rnacentral:precursor_RNA from 8 species
CGGAGCAUGGGAGCCAUCGCCCUGGGCCAGGUACGUGGAUGCUGAAGGUCAGAGGGAAGUGCUUCUGUCUGCACAUGUGUUCUCCAGUCCUCUGACCUUCCUGCAUCCCGUUCAUCUCUAGGAUGACGGCCAGAAGAUGAGGGCU